rnacentral:rRNA from 1 species
AUGGAUUGGAACCUGCAUGUACUCUCUUGGAAUGUGAGGGGCCUUAAUAACCCUGCAAAAAGAAAUGUUGUUAGGGAGUUUGUAAUAGAUUCGAAGGUUAACUUGGUGUGUCUCCUAGAGACGAAGCUAGAUGUACUUGAUAAAUAUCUGGUGAUGCAAUGCAUUGGGCCAUCUUUUGAUGGUUUUGCUUAUCUGUCGGCGAUCGAUACGAGGGGUGGUAUUUUGCUAGCUUGGGAUAGUACAUACAUGGAGAUAGACAAUCUGGCUCGGGACUCUAACUUCCUUACGAGGCAUGUGCGUAAUAAAGAUGGAUGGUAUUGGUGGUUAUCCGUGGUUUAUGGCCCCCAAGGGGAUGAGUUGAAGAUCAAUUUCCUGGUGCAAUUGCAGCAUAGAAGAGAUUUAUGCCCGGGACCGUGGAUGGUUCUUGGAGACUUCAAUAUGAUCUUAAGAGCGGAGGAGAAGAAUAACACCAAUCUCAACAGAUCCAUGAUCAGGAGAUUCAAGGCGUUUGUGGAUAAUAACGAGCUCAAAGAACUCUACGUGCAUGGAAGGAGGUUUACGUGGUCUAAUGAGAGGGAGAACGUGGUUAUGAGCAAGAUAGAUCGUGUGCUUGUAUCGGUGGAUUGGGAGCUCUACUACCCGGAUGUUUUGCUUCAAGCUCUCUCCACAAACAUCUCGGACCACGCCCCAUUACACCUUUCCACGGCGGCCCAUUUUGUGCUAAGAAGAGGUUUAGGUUUGAAUUGUACUGGACCCUGCUAG